ncrna:unclassified sequences type-P1 twister ribozyme
GGUUAACUCCGCCAUUGUCUGGUCCAAAGCCCAGGAUGAGAAAGGAGGAUGGGCU